AGUAAAAGUCGUAACAAAGUCUCCGUAGGUGAACCUGCGAGGGGAUCAUUAUCAGUUAACAACUGGCCCGAAGUCCCUCGCGGGACNUAGGGUGCACGAGUAAACAAACCCUUUGUCGUCCGACCAUGUUGCCUCGGGGGAGACCCCGCCUUCGGGCGGGUGGCACCCCGGUGGACCAAACCAAACUCUUGCAUAACAAUGUAGUCUGAGUGAUUUAAAACAAUAAAUCAAAACUUUCAACAACGGAUCUCUUGGUUCUGGCAUCGAUGAAGAACGCAGCGAAAUGCGAUAAGUAAUGUGAAUUGCAGAAUUCAGUGAAUCAUCGAAUCUUUGAACGCACAUUGCGCCCCGUGGUAUUCCGCGGGGCAUGCCUGUUCGAGCGUCAUUACACCACUCAAGCCUCGCUUGGUAUUGGGCGACGCGGUACGCCGCGCGCCUCAAAUCUUCCGGCUGGUUCGAAUCGUCCCUCAGCGUUGUGGAAACUAUUCGCUAAAGGUGCGCGUUUCGGUCACGCCGUUAAACAAGCCAAUUUCAUUAAAGGUUGACCUCGGAUCAGGUAGGGAUACCCGCUGAACUUAAGCAUAUCAAUAAGCGGAGGAAAAGAAACCAACAGGGAUUGCCCCAGUAACG
rnacentral:rRNA from 1 species